AGUGAACGCUGGCGGUAGGCCUAACACAUGCAAGUCGAACGGCAGCACAGUAAGAGCUUGCUCUUACGGGUGGCGAGUGGCGGACGGGUGAGGAAUACAUCGGAAUCUACUUUUUCGUGGGGGAUAACGUAGGGAAACUUACGCUAAUACCGCAUACGACCUACGGGUGAAAGCAGGGGAUCUUCGGACCUUGCGCGAUUGAAUGAGCCGAUGUCGGAUUAGCUAGUUGGCGGGGUAAAGGCCCACCAAGGCGACGAUCCGUAGCUGGUCUGAGAGGUUGAUCGGCCACACGGGAACCGAGACACGGUCCAGACUCCUACGGGAGGCAGCAGUGGGGAAUAUUGGACAAGGGGCGCAAGCCUGAUCCAGCCAUACCGCGUGGGUGAAGAAGGCCUUCGGGUUGUAAAGCCCUUUUGUUGGGAAAGAAAAGCAGCAGGUUAAUACCCCGCUGUUCUGACGGUACCCAAAGAAUAAGCACCGGCUAACUUCGU
rnacentral:rRNA from 1 species